CAUUUGAUGGUGAAAACAAAGGAUUUACCUUUAUGUGUGUUAUAUAGUUUUCUGAAGACAAAGUCCCAUUGAUAGGAAAGUGCAAUCUUAAAACUAUAUAACACACAUAAAGUGUUGUGAAAUCAAGACUUCACUUUGAAAGGGAUGAACCAUUUGAUGGUGAAACCAAAGGAUAGAGCUUUUACAGCAUUCUGUGUUGAGAUCUUUGGCCAAUACAAACAGAGAUCCCAUUUUAACCAAGAACAGGAGAUUUUGGUUGAAGAAGGAGAA